GGGAUGAGCUGUGGAUAGGAGUGAAAGGCUAAUCAAACCCGGAGAUAGCUGGUUCUCUUCGAAAACUAUUUAGGUAGUGCCUCAUGUAUUACCAUUGGGGGUAGAGCACUGUUUCGGCUAGGGGGUCAUCCCGACUUACCAAACCGAUGCAAACUCCGAAUACCAAUGAGUAUGAGCAUGGGAGACAGACUGCGGGUGCUAACGUCCGUAGUCGAGAGGGAAACAACCCAGACCGUCAGCUAAGGUCCCAAAUUAUGAUUAAGUGGGAAACAAUGUGGGAAGGCACAAACAGCUAGGAGGUUGGCUUAGAAGCAGCCAUCCUUUAAAGAAAGCGUAAUAGCUCACUAGUCGAGUCGGCCUGCGUGGAAGAUAUAACGGGGCUAAAUCAUAAACCGAAGCUACGGAUCUUAAAUUUAUUUAAGAUGGUAGAAGAGCGUUCUGUAAGCGGCUGAAGGCGUGCUGUGAGGCAUGCUGGACGUAUCAGAAGUGCGAAUGUUGACAUGAGUAACGAUCAAAGAGGUGAAAAACCUCUUCGCCGAAAAUCCAAGGUUUCCUGUCCAACGCUAAUCGUGGCAGGGUGAGUCGGCUCCUAAGGCGAGGGCGAAAGCCGUAGUCGAUGGAAAACAGGUUAAUAUUCCUGUACUUCUUAUAAUUGCGAUGGGGUGACGGAGAAGGUUAGGCUAGCACGGCGAUGGUUGUCCGUGUUUAAGGUUGUAGACUUAGAUCUUAGGUAAAUCCGGGAUCUUUUAAGGUUGAGAACUGAUGACGACCACUCUUUGAGUGGGAAGUAGUUUAUACCAUGCUUCCAGGAAAAACCUCUAAGCUUCAGAUUAUAAGGAACCGUACCCUAAACCGACACAGGUGGAUAAGUCGAGAAGACUAAGGUGUUUGAGAGAACUAUGGUGAAGGAACUAGGCAAAAUGGUACCGUAACUUCGGGAGAAGGUACGCCGCCAUUGGUGAUAAGACUUGCUCUUUAAGCUGAUGGUGGUCGAAGAAACUAGGUGGCUGCAACUGUUUAUUAAAAACAUAGCACUCUGCAAAAUCGUAAGAUGACGUAUAGGGUGUGACGCCUGCCCGGUGCCGGAAGGUUAAUUGAUGGGGUUAGCUUAGGCGAAGCUCCUGAUCGAAGCCCCGGUAAACGGCGGCCGUAACUAUAACGGUCCUAAGGUAGCGAAAUUCCUUGUCGGGUAAGUUCCGACCUGCACGAAUGGCGUAAUGAUGGCCACACUGUCUCCACCAUAGACUCAGUGAAAUUGAAAUCGCUGUUAAGAUGCAGUGUACCCGCAGCUAGACGGAAAGACCCCGUGCACCUUUACUAUAGGUUCACACUGGACUUUGACUUUAUUUGUGUAGGAUAGGUGGGAGACUUUGAAGCCGAGACGCUAGUCUUGGUGGAGUCGUCCUUGAAAUACCACCCUUGUAAAGUUGAGGCUCUAACUCAGGUCCGUAAUCCGGAUCGAGG
rnacentral:rRNA from 1 species